CCUUAGAACUUUAUAUGCACUGAGGUUUUCUUUGGGGGUAGAAAAUUGGGUUUUAAAAGGUUCAUCAUUUUGGUAAAAUUGUGUAUUGUAUGUGUGCUCCUUCACAUCAACAAAUAUGAAAUGGAUAGACCAGCUGAUGCAUAACUUAGUUGUCAUCUAUAUUGUCAAGUUUAACUCAUAUAUUCUCGCUCUGCAUAAUAUCAAGUUUGACGACGAUGAUGAUUGGAACCAAGAGGAGGAAGUACGUAAGUUUCCAUCUAUUCAUAUGGAUGUUACCCUCGAUGUACUGUGACCAAAUAUGUAAUGCCUGGUUUGGUUUAACUAUUCUCUUGUGUAUCACUAGGUAAUCAGUUAACAAGUGUUGGCCAUGGUGCAUUGAUCUUAUUUAGUUGUGGUUUUGUAUGCCUCCCCCAGUUGCCGCUAAAACCCACCAAAAAAAUAGCAAGAAAAUUGAUGGUGGGAGCUAGCAAUGCCAGCAGUGCCUCCUUUAGGAUUACAAAAUCGUUAAUCCUAUCUUCGCUUGCAUGUGACUGAUGGUGAUGCUACACAAGUUCUGAAGGCAGUGCCCUCCCCUUCAGCAGGAGAUCUUGCUGGUUCUGCAUGGCACAACUGGAUUAAAUAUGCUACAGCAAGCGAAGGAGUUCAACGAUGUUGUUGGAAUCAAAGGAUUCAUCCUAACGAAAUUAGACGGGACUGCUCGUGUUGGCUGUGUGUUACGGGCGAUUUCCAGUCCUUUAUUGUAACAGAUACAAAUUCCAGUCCUGGAUCUUAAAUAUACGACAACUAAACUUGCUGACCUGAAUCCUGUCUCAGAAACAGAAGCAAGUACGGCCACAACCUCCAAUACUACUACGACUGAUGGCUAUCCUCUACCCGAGGAGAAAAACUGCAUUCAGAGGGUUACGGAAUGGCAAUGGGUGGGUUACCUCCCAGGAGCAGAUGACUGGCAUGGUUAGUGAUCACUAGGCCAUGAAUCUCAUGGAUCGCAUGAUACAGUAUUUUUAUGGUGCAGGUAUCUGGUCCAGAUCUGACGGAGACAAGAAAAAUCGUGCCGCUGCUUCUUCUUUCGAUUGAAAAUCCAGGUGAAAACUUUCAGGAACUCAGGACGACACGCAUUGAUUAUAUUUCAUUGUGAUGGCCGUUGCCGCCACAGCUACUAUGGGUACAAGCAACUUCUAUUUCGCUCGUCACCGGAAACCACUGCCCAGAUCCAUCUCUUCUCAACCAUGCUGACGUGGUGGUCAGGGGCGCUUACAACUUGUGAGGGCCUGCGUUCUUGCUGUUGAUCCGUGAUGGCAUGGCCUCCCCGCGCCCUAGCCGCAUUCUAGCUGAUGGUUUGGGUCUGCCAGCGGAGGGAGAGGGGGACGACCUCUGUCGCUCCUUCUCUCUAGCCUCUUCAUCUUGAUGAAGCCGUAGGAGUAGAGGGGCACGCGCGUGAUGGAUCUGCUCCAAGCACCUCAAGCCACGCAUCUUCAAGGUGAUCACUUCAUCCACAUUCAAUCUCAGUUCCCGCGUUUACUCCGAGGAGAGUUCAAAAGCAGCAGGAGCAGUUGUUCUACUGCUGGUCGGAGGGAGAGCUUGGCAAGGGAGAUAGAGGGAGCUCUACAACCACGAUCUUGGCAUACGACCCGAUGGCAUCAUGCCCACAUAAGCUUCUUCCAUGUUCCAAUUCUUGCACUUGAUGGUCUUUUACUGUUAGAGCUUACGAAAUCUUAGAUGUUACUGACAAAAGACCGAGAUACACUAUUUCGGACUAUAUAUUAUUCAGCAAGUACGUUCGCAAAAAAUUUUGGUCUCAGCAGGUUGGUGUUCAUGUACAGGUUGCCAUAUGAGAAUAUACUGCGUAUUUGUCAAAUCUCAGAACAAAUGGCCCAUUCCGAUCAUAACUAUUCCAAAAGCAUUGAUAGGCUUUUUUAAACAUUAAGAUAUCUGAAUAUUGAUCUCAGCAGUGUCCAAAAUCCAAAUGGUUAUGUUUGUUCAGAUUUUCCUCAUUUUUAUGUUCUUUGAAUUGAAGUAGUGCUUGAGGUUAAUAAUAAAUUAUUGUUGGUAACUUAACUAGCUCCUGAGAAUAAUUUGUGAUAUAGCUUGCUCCUAUAUUUGCCAUUGACAACGUUGCUUGUGGAGAGUAAUAAGGAUUUAUCUAGCUCAUGUAUGUCUGAGCCUGAGACGGAGAGGACAACGGUUGUGGCUCCAUUGAUGAUAGUGGUUGCGAUGCAGAGCCGUAUGAAUGGACAGCAGGGAAGCCAAGCACUCCCUGGAAAUCGCCGUGAUUCCGGAAUGGGUGGCGGGUCCCUGCCCCUAUCACCCAUGAAGCUGACAACGAUCACCUGGCCUCGUGCGGCGGCUGCGGAGGAGAGGGAGGCAGGAGGGGGAGACUUGUAAGCGAUAACCCGCACGGAGGAGGAAGGAGACGCCUCAGGUGGAGAUGAUGACGAUGGACGUGUCUCCAUCGCUGGCAGCGGUCAUGACGUGCAGCUGCAGGACUAGACAUCAGACAGGCGGAGUCGUUUCUGGGAGUUGCUUGCUUUGGUGGUGCUCUUGGGUUUACGAUUUCAAUAUAAUCCUAUGGCGGAGUGGAUGCUUGUGUGUUUCAUUGAUGGAGGAGGUAUAAAUCUGUUCCUUAAAGCGAGCAAAUCAAAACAAAAAUGCAGGAGGUAUCCGACAACACUGACGAUACGCCAUUCCACUUAGACCUGAGGGCAACAUCAAAGGAUGCCACCGGCAGCAGAGAUCAACAAGUUCUUCACCGUCGGGGAGAAGGUACAAAAUUGGACAUCAUGUGAGGUGUUAUGCUCAACCCCAGCUAGUUCAAAGGCAACACUGGUGGUGGUCCUCUGAGUAUGCAAAUGACAUAGAGUGGGCACUGCAAUAAUACAUGCUAAUAGGCGCAGUUUCAUCUCGAGCAGACGAGCACUGCAAUAGUACAUGCUACUCUCAGCGACUACUAACGUGAAGUUGCACUCAGGCUCUCGCAUAUACUAAAGAGUAGUGUCAUCAAUGGAACAAAUAAAGUCUUGAUAACUAGAAGGCCAUUCCGAUUCCAGUAUGGUAAAUAUUCGAUGGAUGACAAAGGGUCCCGAGGGAGCUCGUUUGUGCUGACAACACUCAGCAUAUUCUGCAAAUAUCCUCUGAGUUCACCAUCCAUGAGCUGCAAGUCAUGUUUUCUGGUGCUACAAGUAUAAAAAGGUUCAUGCUUUGUGGUAUUAACCUUUUGUGCUGUUGUUCCAAUACCUUUUGGAGUUUUGGCCUAAAAGGGCUCUCUGAAACACGGAGACAAACAAAGCUACAAUUUGGAGUAUGAUUAAGCAGUCCAGUCAGCGUUACUAAUCCCCACUUGAGCUUGACUGUAUUUCCUGGCUUAAUGUUUGAGAUUCUAUGUAUAGCAAAA